AUUGAACGCUGGCGGCAGGCUUAACACAUGCAAGUCGAGCGGGGAAGAGUAGCUUGCUACUUUACCUAGCGGCGGACGGGUGAGUAAUGCUUAGGAAUCUGCCUAUUAGUGGGGGACAACAUCUCGAAAGGGAUGCUAAUACCGCAUACGUCCUACGGGAGAAAGCAGGGGACCUUCGGGCCUUGCGCUAAUAGAUGAGCCUAAGUCGGAUUAGCUAGUUGGUGGGGUAAAGGCCUACCAAGGCGACGAUCUGUAGCGGGUCUGAGAGGAUGAUCCGCCACACUGGGACUGAGACACGGCCCAGACUCCUACGGGAGGCAGCAGUGGGGAAUAUUGGACAAUGGGGGGAACCCUGAUCCAGCCAUGCCGCGUGUGUGAAGAAGGCCUUUUGGUUGUAAAGCACUUUAAGCGAGGAGGAGGCUACCGAGAUUAAUACUCUUGGAUAGUGGACGUUACUCGCAGAAUAAGCACCGGCUAACUCUGUGCCAGCCGCCGCCGUAA
rnacentral:rRNA from 1 species